rnacentral:lncRNA from 1 species
AGAGUGAGGGAACUGAAGCAACCACUCUACACCACCGAGUCUCAGUAGGUGAGUAAGAAGAACCUGAGAGCUGCCAUUAGCCUACAACUCUUUCACUUACCCAGCUUUCCCAUGGGAUGCCCAUGCCUAGCCCGGAGUGCCUUCAAGGGAGACACACACAUCUGGAGAGGCUCUUCAUCUUCCCUCAUGAGGUCCAGAAAGAGGCAGAGGGUGCUGAAUUGGCUCGGUUCUUGCCCUGCAUUCAUAGGGAGAAGCAGAAAGGGAAAAGUGAGGGCCAGAGCCACUGGGCCAUCCCUCCCUCUUGCCCAGCAGGAGGCAUCUGUGCCUUUCUUGUCCCAGUGCAAGCCCAUGGCUUCUGGCACGGAACUGCCCACCUCUGUCACCUUCCCCUCUUGCUCCACCACCCUCAAUCGACUUGUGCUUUCCUCCCGGUAGCUGUCACCCACAAAAGGCCAACUGUGCCACACAGUGUGCCACAAUUCAUCACGCAGAAGACCACACCUGUGACAUUGGCCAGCAGUACCUCCCAGACCUCUGUUUCCAGAGAAGCCAGCCCUGCCAGCAGUCCAGAAGUCCCACUGACAAAGACGUCUCCGAGCCCCAGCUCUUUACCUGUCACCUCAACCUCAUCUGUUUCUUCCUCCUCAUCUGCCCUGCCCUCAACACGGCUGAGACCAUCACAUCCCGCCUCCAAAACUACAUUGCCACCCGUGAGCACGGAGAAGACCACCCCAGCCACAUCUGCCAGCAGCACCUCCAGGACGUCCGUGCCCAGCGAGGCCAGCCCCGCCAGCAGCCCAGCAGUGCCAGUGGCCAGGACGUCGCCUGCCCCCAGCAGCCCUCUCAGCACCAGGCUGCCAUCUGCCGCCCCUUCCACAGCCUCCUCCCCGUCACCCCCAAGCUCCCGGCUCAGGCCCACGCCUACGACCCUGAGGCCCAAGCCCUCUCCCCCGAGGACCAGUGCUCCCACAGAGUCGCCUGCGUCCUCCGCACCCUCCACAGCCAAAACCAGCCCGCUGCCCUCAUCUACGUCCUCCCCGCUCUCAACUGUGUCCUCAGCAGUGCCGAGCUCCUCACAGCCAGCCUCCACCCCCAAAGAGACAACGGUGCCUCACAUCGUGCCGCCCGUGAGCACGGAGAAGACCACCCCGGCCACGUCUGCCAGCAGCACCUCCAGGACGUCCGUGCCCAGCGAGGCCAGCCCCGCCAGCAGCCCAGCAGUGCCAGUGGCCAGGACGUCGCCUGCCCCCAGCAGCCCUCUCAGCACCAGGCUGCCAUCUGCCGCCCCUUCCACAGCCUCCUCCCCAUCGCCCCCAAGCUCCCGGCUCAGGCCCACGCCUACGACCCUGAGGCCCAAGCCCUCUCCCCCG